rnacentral:lncRNA from 1 species
GAAAUUACAAUUCCAAAUAAAACAGAAUAUCUUUAUUCAAAUUAGUCUACUUAAAUAUUUAUAUACAUGCACAUCAAACAAUACUAAAAUGUACAUGAGACACAAAAGCUAAUAGCAAGAAACAAAAACAUCUUGAUUUUUUUUUGGUAUGAUAUUUCACUACAUUAUAUAUAUGUACUUACACUCUUAAGUCUUAAGAUCUAAAUCAUAGUUUGCAGAUAUUUCAUCCCAUGCCCCCCCAAAAAAAAAAUUAUUUCGUAUUUUAUUUUACGACUGGUGAGCCAGACGCUAUCAUCUUUCUCUUACUGGACGACGAAUCAGUAGGGGAAGCAGGCUGUACAGGUGGCCUCCGACGGGUGGCGCGGAUGUAACAGAAGACCGCCGUCAGAAACACGGCGGCUAAAACCCCGACAACCGCUACGCCGCCGACAACUGACUCCUCGAAUGAGCGAUCGUGGUGGUGGUGACGGUGCUUCCUCUCCAUGACCUCUUCCUCGGCACUUUCCCCUUCUCCAAAGCCUCCGCCGCCGGACUCGGCGCGGCGGCGACGUGAUGCUUCCCCAGUUUCCGGCCGGCAUUAGGAGCUUCUGUAAUCUCGGCAGCCGUCGCCGCCGAGAUCAAAAGCAUGAUCAAGCAGAAAACAGUAAACCUAGCCAUUAAUAAUGUCGUUGCACACGAAACCAGUGCAAUUUUAAGUCUCUAUUUAUAGAG